rnacentral:miRNA from 1 species
UGGGUGUGUGUGUUUCU